rnacentral:rRNA from 1 species
GAUGAACGCUGGCGGCGUGCCUAAUACAUGCAAGUCGAGCGAACAGACGAGGAGCUUGCUCCUCUGACGUUAGCGGCGGACGGGUGAGUAACACGUGGAUAACCUACCUAUAAGACUGGGAUAACUUCGGGAAACCGGAGCUAAUACCGGAUAACAUGUUGAACCGCAUGGUUCAACAGUGAAAGACGGUCUUGCUGUCACUUAUAGAUGGAUCCGCGCCGCAUUAGCUAGUUGGUAAGGUAACGGCUUACCAAGGCAACGAUGCGUAGCCGACCUGAGAGGGUGAUCGGCCACACUGGAACGGAGACACGGUCCAGACUCCUACGGGAGGCAGCAGUAGGGAAUCUUCCGCAAUGGGCGAAAGCCUGACGGAGCAACGCCGCGUGAGUGAAGAAGGUCUUCGGAUCGUAAAACUCUGUUAUUAGGGAAGAACAAAUGUGUAAGUAACUAUGCACGUCUUGACGGUAACUAAUCAGAAAGCCACGGCUAACUACGUG